GCCCUCCUGGUGCUUGUCACAGGCUGUAUUUUUAUAUUGACUAUAUCAAAUGAGGCGGCAAAGUAAAUCUACCACAUAUACACCUCAGCCCAGGUCCUGUGCCUGGUCUGUAUUGCAAAUGAGGAGACAUGG
rnacentral:snoRNA from 1 species